CAGCAGCCACGGUAAUACGAAGGGUGCAAGCGUUAAUCGGAAUUACUGGGCGUAAAGCGUGCGUAGGCGGUGAGUUAAGUCUGCUGUGAAAUCCCCGGGCUCAACCUGGGAAUGGCAGUGGAUACUGGCUCGCUAGAGUGUGUCAGAGGAUGGUGGAAUUCCCGGUGUAGCGGUGAAAUGCGUAGAGAUCGGGAGGAACAUCAGUGGCGAAGGCGGCCAUCUGGGACAACACUGACGCUGAGGCACGAAAGCGUGGGGAGCAAACAGGAUUAGAUACCCCAGUAGUCCCUGUCUCUUAUAC
rnacentral:rRNA from 1 species